AGAACGAACGCUGGCGGCAGGCCUAACACAUGCAAGUCGAACGCUCCGCAAGGAGAGUGGCAGACGGGUGAGUAACGCGUGGGAAUUUCCCCCAAGGUUCGGAAUAACUGAGGGAAACUUCAGCUAAUACCGAAUGGUACCGAGAGGUUAAAGAUUUAUCGCCUUGGGAUGAGCCCGCGUUGGAUUAGCUAGUUGGUGAGGUAACGGCUCACCAAGGCUUUGAUCCAUAGCUGGUCUGAGAGGACGACCAGCCACACUGGGACUGAGACACGGCCCAGACUCCUACGGGAGGCAGCAGUGGGGGAAUCGUUGGACAAUGGGCGCAAGCCUGAUCCAGCCGUGCCGCGUGGGCGAUGAAGGUCUCGGAUUGUAAAGCCUUUGGCGGGACGAUAAGUGACGGUACCGCAGAAUAAGCUCGCUAACUUCGUGACCAGCAGCCGC
rnacentral:rRNA from 1 species